AUUGAACGCUGGCGGCAUGCCUUACACAUGCAAGUCGAACGGCAGCACGGGAGCAAUCCUGGUGGCGAGUGGCGAACGGGUGAGUAAUAUAUCGGAACGUGCCCAGUAGUGGGGGAUAACUGCUCGAAAGAGCAGCUAAUACCGCAUACGACCUGAGGGUGAGAGGGGGGGAUCGCAAGACCUCUCGCUAUUGGAGCGGCCGCAAUCAGAUUAGCUAGUUGGUGGGGUAAAGGCCUACCAAGGCAACGAUCUGUAGUUGGUCUGAGAGGACAACCAGCCACACUGGGACUGAGACACGGCCCAGACUCCUACGGGAGGCAGCAGUGGGGAAUUUUGGACAAUGGGCGCAAGCCUGAUCCAGCAAUGCCGCGUGCAGGAAGAAGGCCUUCGGGUUGUAAACUGCUUUUGUCAGGGAAGAAAUCCUCUAGGUUAAUACCCUUGGGGGGAUGACGGUACCUGAAGAAUAAGCACCGGCUAACUACGUGCCAGCAGCCGCCGUAAAAC
rnacentral:rRNA from 1 species